UACGUAGGGGGCAAGCGUUGUCCGGAUUUAUUGGGCGUAAAGAGCGUGUAGGCGGCCAGGUAGGUCAGCUGUGAAAACUCGAGGCUCAACCUCGAGACGCCGGUUGAAACCAUCUGGCUAGAGUCCGGAAGAGGAGAGUGGAAUUCCUGGUGUAGCGGUGAAAUGCGCAGAUAUCAGGAGGAACACCGGUGGCGAAGGCGGGUCUCUGGGCCGAUACUGACACUGAGGAGCGAAAGCGUGGGGAGCGAACAGG
rnacentral:rRNA from 1 species